UUGACCUCGGAUCAGGUAGGAAUACCCGCUGAACUUAAGCAUAUCAAUAAGCGGAGGAAAAGAAACCAACAGGG
rnacentral:rRNA from 1 species